UUAGGGUCCAUGAUUUGGAGAGGGAGGUUGGGGAAAGAGAGGAGAUGCUGGGGUUUAUGUCCAGAAGCGCUGCUGCUGCUGCUGGUAAUGGUGGUGGCAACGAUUAUUAUGAGGAGGAUGAGGGUAGGGUGGAGGAAGGAGGUGAAGUUGCGUUUGGUGAUAAUAAUAGGCAGUGGUUUGCUUCUGAGGAUGAGUAUUUGAACGGGAAUGGAAAUGGAAAUUUCGUGUACGGCGGCUCCUUUCAUCAUCAGCAUCAGCAACAGCAACAGCAGCAGGAGCUUCGUUAUGGAGGCUUGGGUUCUGAAUUUGCUGCUUCAGCUUCCAAAUU
rnacentral:lncRNA from 1 species